AUGCCUCCUGCUGUUCUUCUCAUCGGCUGUCUACUCGCCACAAUCAGCUGUUUAACCACAGCUCAAACUGGAAUCGCUCCAUCUGGACUGGCUACAAAUACCACAACUACCACAUCAAUUAUCUCCUUACCUAUUACAAUACCACCUACACCAGCACUGACUACAACUACACCACAACCUACACUAGCACCAACUACAACAAUGACUACAACUACAACACCGCCUACACCAGCACCAACAACAUCAUCAUCUUCACCAGCACUGGUUACAACUACAACAGCACAAACUUCAACGUCAUUUACACCACCAACUACUACAACUACAGUCCAUCCACCAGCAUCUCGCAUUAACACUGCAGAUCCUACCUUCGAUCCUGCCUUCGACUCCACUACAACUCCUACCUCCGACUCCACUACAGCUUCUACCUCCAACACCACUGCAGAUCCUACCUUCGAUCCUCCCUUCGACUCCACUACAGAUCCUACCACCAACACCACUACAGCUCCUACCUCCAACACCACUACAGCUCCUACCUCCGACUCCACUACAGCUCCUACCUCCAACACCACUGCAGAUCCUACCUUCGAUCCUCCCUCCGACUCCACUACAGAUCCUACCACCAACACCACUACAGCUCCUACCUUCAAUCCUCCCAGCGACUCCACUCCAGCUCCUACCACCAACGCCACUACUGCUCCUGCCUCCAACACCACUACAGCUCCUACCUCCGACCCCACUACAGCUCCUACCUCCAACACCACUGCAGAUCCGACCUUCGAUCCUCCCUUCGACUCCACUACAGACCCUACCACCAACACCACUACAGAUCCUACCUUCGAUCCUCCCUUCGACUCCACUACAACUCCUACCUCCAACACCACUACAGCUCCUCCCUCCAACACCCCUACACCUCCUUCCUCCGACUCCACUACUGCUUCUACCUCCAACACCACUACAGAUCCUACCUUCGAUCCUCCCUUCGCCUCCACUCCUGAUCCCACCACCGACACCACUACAGCUCCUACCUCCAACACCACUACAGCCCCUACCUCCAACACCACUGCAGAUCCUACCUUCGAUCUUCCCUUCGACUCCACUACAGCUCCUACCUCCGACACCACUACAGCUCCUACCUCCAACACCACUACAGAUCCUACCUCCGAUCCUCCCUUCGACUCCACUACAACUCCUACCUCCAACACCACUACAGCUCCUCCCUCCGACUCCACUACAGCUCCUACCACCAACCCCACUGCAGACCCUACCUUCGAUCCUCCCUUCGACUCCACUACAGAUCCUACCCCCAACCCCACUACACCUCCUACCUCCAACACCACUACCGCUCCUACCUUCGAUCCUCCCUUCGACUCCACUACAGCUCCUACCUCCAACUCUACUGCAGCUCCACCCAAAGGUAAUUAGGGCCCAAGCAUUGCGAGGUCCGUAUUGAAACUGCUCCACUUUAUUUAUCAUUGUUUGUGUGUAUAUAAAUGUGUAGGUCAAGCUUUACCAUCACUAUUGCAGCCGAACCUGAAAUCUCUAAAAUGUGUUUUGGCAUUUUGCAUGUUCUCACAGUACUCACUAUUCUCGAGAUGAAGGUGAAGACGCUGAAUGAGGAAGAGCGUCAGGCUGAACUGCUUGAGGUGAGAGGAGCAUGUUUGAUAAUUUCACUACAUGCUAAAUGUACUCUGAUGGAAAUCGACAGUUAUAACUAUGUAGAAGAAAGGAUACCCAUGUUUGGACAAACUAUAAAACAAAUCACUAGCAUCAAGUUUCAGCCACAGUCAUUCUACAGUCAAGCUUAUAGUGAGCAGGUGUGGAGUCAUGUUCCUUUAAGGCCCUUUUUUGGCUAAAAUUACUUUUUUUAGCGUUUCUGUUCUGUGCCUGAUUAGAAAUCAUACAUUAUUGCUUGUUGUUCUUAACCAUAAAAUUACAUUCUAUGUGUAAUUGGACACAGCUUUGUGUGCUGCUUCUUCUGAACCUGCUGUUUUCUCACUUAGUCUUUUUUUUUUUCUCAGGUUGGCAAAGUGCUGGAGAGUUUCUUAAGAGCGAAUUAUACUGGCAACUUCUCUGUUAAAGUCACGAAAAUUAAAAAGUUAUCACCAUAGGACUGAGUCGGAAAUCUUUUUUUUUUUUAAACUUUAAAAAAAGUUUUCUAAAAAACUUUUACUGUUUUAGAUUAUAUAUGUUGGCGGUUCAACGAAAUGCAUGUGUCUGUGUAUGUGUGAAACAAACUAUGAAAUGAAUGUGUAAGGAAAGCCCAGAUUUAUUAUCUGUUCUCAUUAAAUUCAUUGUUCGUUCUUCAUUUGCGUGGAAGGAAAUCCGCUGCUGCUGUUUUGACAUUGUCUUCAUUUUUCUAUUUUUGAGAUUUUUGUAUGAGGAUUGCACUGAAAUUAUGAGGAAGAACUCUUGUGAACUCAGUAAGAAAAUAAAACAAGCAAAUGAUUAAAAUUGUUGGGUUUU
ensembl:lncRNA